UCGGACAUAAGCACCACCGGCUUCAGGACGUACCCGCAGCCCCCGUUGUCCAGGAAACGGCCAUCGUUAAGGUCCAUAGGCAAACCCAGAGUCUGGAAAUUCAGAGCCACUGUAAAACAUCAUGGGAGUGUUGCAUGCAUUACAUCAGGGAGGACUCUCCAGUCACUGGCUGCAAUAAAGGCACAUUCUCAGGCUUUUCUGCAGCACACGGCUUCCUGUGUUGGAGCAAUCAUCUCCCUGCUGCAGAGCUGCAGUUUUAUUCCACCGUCAGUCUGAAGCCUGUAUCGCUCAGCAUCUGCGCGGCUGUCACCACCACCUGCAGACAGCCUGCUUAUCGAUCAGCAGGGCUGUACAUCAGUGUCAUUGGCUGCCAGGCUGAGCAAUAGUGAUGGAUGAAGAGAAUAUGUAAAGACUGACAGAGUGACAAGAACACUGGGCCAAGACAGAUCAGGGGAGUGACUUUAAUCCCAUGGGCGAGAUAGGCAUUUCCAGAGGAUUUAGGGAAGGUUGCAACAAAGAUGGUUCUGGUUUUGGAAGUCGUGCGGUACUUGCACGGUCUGACAUUUAUCUAAAAACGCCUGUAUUUUCUCUGAGGUCAUACCCGUCUGUCCCUUGCCACCUUUAAGCACAGGACGUGGAUGGAAUACAGUUGCCUUUUUGUUUAUAGUCAAGUAGGAAUUUUCUUGUGCACCAGCCAACAAAAAUGUCACCUAAAAAUAUAUAAAAUCAAAUAUAAUUAACUUUUAGUUUCAAUUUACUCAGUGUGAGAAUAGGGCCUGUUUAGGUAAACACAACUCUAAUAUAGUCAAAGGAAUUGAAGACAGAUCACACUGAUUUACUUCUGGGACUGUCAGUACAGAUGGCUGUGUUCAUAUUUAAUACUCACUCCAUGAGGUUAAAUCAAAAGCAGCUUUUUAAAAUACUGAUUAACUGUAACUGUUGAAAACAGACACUCCUUACAGUAGACUUGAUUAUAUUAUUUGAUGAUUUCUUUGUGUUUGUUUACAGCCAAAUCCAACAAACAAUAAUCAGUGGUCUAUAGAUUCCUCCUUGAGCCCUAUGAAGUUUUACAGUUUUUCCAAAUUAAUAUUUUUGUAUAAAAGACAUUCUUUUGCCUCCUCUGUGUAGUAAUAAAAAAGGAAAGAUUAUUUCAGUGGAUUUAAUUGGUUUAUCUCCUGUAUUCUUAAUAAUGAAAUAUGUAUCAGUCUAUGUGAAACAUAUGCAGCUAUAGUACCAUGAUAAGGAUGCAUAAACACUUUUUGAAUUAUUUACAUUUUUCCAAUAUUUGCAAACAGACUAAGCUGUGCUUUAAUUUUUUCAAAGGCUUUGACUGA